AAAGGGUUAGUUCAAUGGUUAGAAUAACCGUCAUAGGGCGGUAGAUAGAGGUUCGACUCCUUUACCCUUUACCA
rnacentral:tRNA from 1 species